rnacentral:tRNA from 1 species
GAUUGUGAGGCUCAGCGGCAGAGUGCAUGCCUCACACAUGUGAGGUACUGGGUUCGAUCCUCAGCACCACA